GAUGAACGCUGGCGGCGUGCCUAAUACAUGCAAGUCGAGCGAACAGACGAGGAGCUUGCUCCUCUGACGUUAGCGGCGGACGGGUGAGUAACACGUGGAUAACCUACCUAUCAGACUGGGAUAACUUCGGGAAACCGGAGCUAAUACCGGAUAAUAUAUUGAACCGCAUGGUUCAAUAGUGAAAGACGGUUUUGCUGUCACUUAUAGAUGGAUCCGCGCCGCAUUAGCUAGUUGGUAAGGUAACGGCUUACCAAGGCAACGAUGCGUAGCCGACCUGAGAGGGUGAUCUGCCACACUGGAACUGAGACACGGUCCAGACUCCUACGGGAGGCAGCAGUAGGGAAUCUUCCGCAAUGGGCGAAAGCCUGACGGAGCAACGCCGCGUGAGUGAUGAAGGUCUUCGGAUCGUAAAACUCUGUUAUUAGGGAAGAACAAAUGUGUAAGUAACUAUGCACGUCUUGACGGUACCUAAUCAGAAAGCCACGGCUAACUACGUG
rnacentral:rRNA from 1 species